rnacentral:rRNA from 1 species
CCUACGGGAGGCAGCAGUGGGGAAUAUUGCACAAUGGCGGGAACCCUGAUGCAGCAACGCCGCGUGGGUGAAGAAGUACUUCGGUAUGUUAAGCCCUGUCAGCAGGGAAGAAAAUGACGGUACCUGACCAAGAAGCCCCGGCUAACUACGUGCCAGCAGCCGCGGGAAUACGUAGGGGGCAAGCGUUAUCCGGAUUUACUGGGUGUUAAGGGAGCGUAGACGGCAAGGCAAGUCUGGAGUGAAAGCCCGUGGCUCAACCACGGGACUGCUGUGGAAACUGGGUUGCUGGAGUGCAGGAGGGGUAAGCGGAAUGCGUAGUGUAGCGGUGAAAUGCGUAGAUAUUAGGAGGAACACCGGUGGCGAAGGCGGCUUACUGGACUGUAACUGACGUGGAGGCUCGAAGGCGUGGGGAGCGAACAGGAUUAGAGACCCGAGUAGUC